rnacentral:lncRNA from 1 species
CUAAUUGGGAUCAUAUAAAAAUGAGAGAUUUAUAUGCAAGAAACUUGUGUUGUGGAAUCCAUUACAGAAUAGGUCAUCAUUAUUAUCAGGAAACCAUCAAUACCAUAGCUAGCAGAUGAGAGGCUGAAACAUCUUCGGAUCAAGCAACCAAGUGCAACAUCGCGAAACACAGAACACAAUAGGUAGCACGGUUACAAUCACAGAUAAGCAGCCAUCUCAUCAUUCUCUACGGAUCAGAGACAGGUGACCAGGCUCAUUUCUUUCCACUUUUCUUUAAACCCGAGCCUCCAAACUCCAACUGCACCCUUCUGUGCCCAACUCCUUUAGUGCCUAUUGGUGCAAAAGCCACAUACACACACAAUAAAUGACAGCAAAUUAGGAUCAUCCACCC